rnacentral:rRNA from 1 species
UACGAAGGGUGCAAGCGUUACUCGGAAUUACUGGGCGUAAAGCGUGCGUAGGUGGUUUGUUAAGUCUGUUGUGAAAGCCCCCGGGCUCAACCUGGGAAUGGCAAUGGAUACUGGCAGGCUAGAGUGCGGUAGAGGUAGUGGAAUUCCCGGUGUAGCGGUGAAAUGCGUAGAGAUCGGGAGGAACACCAGUGGCGAAGGCGGCUACCUGGACCAGCACUGACACUGAGGCACGAAAGCGUGGGGAGCAAACAGG